GACAGCUCCAAGCAAGAGGCCAUUGAUGUUUUGCUACUGGGAAAUACUCUGAAUAGUGAUUUAGCUGACAAAGCUCGAGCACUUUUAACUACUGGAAGUUUGCGUGUUUCUGAGCAGACAUUACAGUCGCAUCUUCUAAAGUACUAAAGAGCAUGUGUGAGAAUUUCUACAAAUAUUCAAAGCCUAAGAAAAUUCGAGUAUGUGUCGGAACCUGGAAUGUGAAUGGUGGGAAGCAAUUUCGCAGCAUAGCUUUUAAGAAUCAGACACUCACUGACUGGCUUCUUGAUGCACCCAAGUUAGCUGGCAUCCAGGAGUUUCAAGAUAAAAGAAGUAAGCCAACUGAUAUAUUUGCAAUUGGUUUUGAAGAAAUGGUAGAAUUGAAUGCUGG
rnacentral:lncRNA from 1 species